rnacentral:lncRNA from 1 species
GUGCAACAUUCAUUCUCCAUGAAAAGAAUACAUCACAUGGAUGUAAUUUUUGUAAGAAAAAAUACCAAUUUCGUGAGAAGUUGUGUGUUGGACUUGAAGAGCCAAGGCAAACUGACAAAUAUCUGAAUGAACGAAUCGAUUUAUGGUAUAUAAAAAAAACAAAGCCCACAUGGUUAGCAUUGAAUAAAUAGAAGGCCACUCUUAAAUGAUGACAACGUAGAAGUUUUUGUUCUCUUAAUCAAUAAGAUAUUUUCUGAAAUAACGCGGGUCCCUAUUAACUUAAAAGUUUUUUUGUUUUUUUUUUACCAUGAAUAAACUUUUUUUUUUAUUAUUAUUUAUUGAUAUCAGCUCUGGACAUUAAUAUUCUUAAAAGUGAAACUGUUGUAAGUGAUGGUAUAACAAUUAUUUAAAAUAAAUUCCUUAAAUGAUAUGUGAAAAGAAAGUUUCAUUUUAUGUAUCAAAAUGUGUAACAAAUGAUUAUUUAAAUCCCCACUUGAAGGCCUCCGAUAGACUGAGUGAGCAUAAAAUCAUCGCCCACGACAAACAAGUUAAAGGUAAACUUUUCAGUACAAUUACUAAUAAACGUUUUACUGUCGACCACACUGUUAUGAAUUUCGUUCUAUA